rnacentral:lncRNA from 1 species
CCCCAUGCAGUCUAGCAGGAAAGGAGAGGGAGCUUUCCCCGAAGACCCUCCUGGACCAGCCCCAGGCUCCUGUGCUGGUGAGGCCGAGGGAGAGGGAUGUGGGCAUAGGACACGUAGCAGGAUUUCCAUUUUAGAGGCAGCCGGACCUGUCUUCAGGUCCCUUCCUUGGUGAGAGACAGGGGUACGCCAGAGGAAGCUGGGCGCUCGGCCUCUGUGCAGCCUCAUCUCCUGGAAUCUGAGUAUUGAAAACUGGGCUUUUACUUCGCACACCUCAGCACAGACUCCCAUGGGAAUCCAGGUCACAGCAAAGCAGCCCUGGGCCUCCAUUCUCCUUUAAGCAAGCAUGACAAUCCUCACUUCACUGAGUUUUUAUUAAAACUAGCAAUGACCUUAGAAAGCAAGGCAUGACCUCAGCUCCACUUUUGAGGCUGCAGUCCAUUCAGAGAGGUUUCGCAGACUCGGUAACGGCCAGAACAGACAGCCUGGGCCCUGCCGCAGGCUGACUCAGAAUCUUUGGGAGUAGUGACCAACUUCUGCUUUUGGAAAAACCUCUACAGGCGGUUCUGAGAAGUCCAAGGGUUGCUGGGAGAGGUUGCAGGUUGCACGCCAGGGCCUGUACUGACCACCUCCACGUGCCACUGGGGCUGUAAGGAGGAAUGGCGGCCGUGGGCAGCCUGCUUGGGUAAGCAUGGACUUUUAGGUCCCUGGGGAUUACUGUCAGGGGCCACCCCAGGGAACCCCUCUCUUCAGCAGGAAACCGCCAUUCUAAUCCUCCCUAGUCCUUGCUAUUGUCCACUGUCCCCUGUGCUGGAAGCUUUGUGCCCUUGCUCAGCCUGGCAGCCUCUUCCUGGCUAGGGG